AGAAUCUUCACUGUUCCAGCUGCUGUCGGCCAUUUUCUUUUAAAGCAAACAAUUAUUCUUCGUAAUUAGUCGUUAAUAUUUGAUGUCGUAGGGUAUUCUGAGCAUGAUCUGAUCAAAAUGCCAAAAAAAAAGAAGAGAGCAGGUGUUUCUGGUCGGCGUCAUAAAUACCA